UGGCAGAUGAAAUUGUGCAUCCACUGUUCAGAAAGCGAACCCCGAAACUCCCAUCCUUCCCACUGCUGCCGGAAGGAGACGAACCCCAAAACCCUGACCUGACCCUCCCCGUCGACCCCAUCCGCCGCCGCCGCCGCCGGAGGAGGAGAUGGACUUCCAGGUCGUCGUCCUCGCCGGAGGCAUCUCCGAGAAGCUCUCGCCCCUCGUCUCCAAGGACGUUCCCAAGGCCCUCCUCCCCGUCGCCAACCGCCCCGCGAUCUCCUACGUGCUCGAUCUCCUCGAGUCCAGCGACCUCAAGGACAUCAUCGUGGUGGUGGAGGGUCAAGAGGCGGGCCGCCCCGUCGGGGCCCGGGAC